ACUAGAAUGUGGGUUGAGACUCUCUUAAGAGCAAUGGGAUGAGGGAGCUGGGCUUUGUUUUAUGGCUCGGGGAUGGAUUCAUUCACUCCCCCAAUAAAUCUAUUUUCCUAGUAGCUUCCCUUACAAACAAAGGGGAAUCCUCUAAGCUGCCGGAAAGAAGUUUUGCGUGAAAUCUUAGAAAUCAUCUGCCAGUCGGUGGGGACAGUACUGAACUAGAUGGAGCAAUGGUCUUUGUUUUGGUAUAAGGUAAAUUCCUCUGUUCUUCCUACCAGGGGGCUAGUUUUUAGUUUAACGCAUGGGUAGGCAAACUAAGGCCCGGGGGCCGGAUCCGGCCCAAUCGCCUUCUAAAUCCGGCCCUCGGCAUGUUUUUACAUGAGUAAAAUAUGUGCUUUUAUUUAAAAGGCAUCUCUGGGUUAUUUGUGGGGCAUAGGAAUUCGUUCAUUUCCCCCCCCAAAAAUAUAGUCUGGCCCGCCAUGAGGCCUGAGGGACAGUGGACUGGCCCCCUGCUGAAAAAGUUUGCUGACCCCUGGUUUAACGGCACAAUUGUGGACCAGGCAGGCUGAGUGAUAGUGUUCUGAAGGUGCAAGUUGCUUUUCAAUCCGGCUCCUCUUUAUGCUAAUUUUUCAUCUGUGUUUAGUUACAGAGGUCUGACUCAAGUGUUUAUCUGAUUUUUCCAAAUCUGCACCCUGAAGUCUCCCAAUGUUCACCAACUGUUUAAAAGUGUGUGUUGUUUUAAAAAUGCAUGCUUGCUUUUCAAGUGGCUUUUAUUGGUCUUGUUAUGGUUAAUAUUACUCAUGUUUGUGGUUCUUUGUUCUACAGAGGCAGUCUUGGGAGUUGGAGUUGUAGCAGCCCCCUAACAACUCUCAGCUCCCAGAAUUCUUCGAGGCAGCCAUGACUUUUCAAAGUUGUAUCAUAGGGCUUUAGGUUUGAUGGUGUGAAUGUAGCCCGGCUCUAGGACUUUGGCAUUGUUUUGUUGCCAAACAGUUUAGCCAGCAUAUACCGUAUUUUUCGUCCUAUAGGGCGCACCGGCCCAUAGGACGCAUCUCGGUUUUUUGGGGGGGAAAUGAAUAAAAAAAAUAUUCCCCCCCCCAGCCGCGGCUGCCGCCCCAAGCCUUACACACACACCUGCCCGAAGCAUGGGGCGCCCUGUGCUUCGGGCUGCAGGCUGCCGCCCCAAGCCUCGCACACCCAGCGGGACCUCCCGCCGGGCACGCAAGGCUUGCGCACACCCGCCCGAAGCACGGGGCGCCCUCCGGAGGGCGCCCCGUGCUUCGGGCUGCUGCCCACAAGCCUUGUGAGCCCGCGGGAACUCCCGCUGGGCUCGCAAGGCUUGCGGAUAGCUUCCUGAAGCCUGGAGAGCGAGAGGGGUCGGUGUGCACCGAUGCCUCUCGCUCUCCAGGCUUCAGCGAAAGCCUGCAUUCGCCCCAAAGGACGCACACACAUUUCCCCUUCAUUUUUGGAGGGGAAAAAAUGCGUCCUAUGGGGCGAAAAAUACGGUAAUUGGUGGUUGAACCAAUUCUUUUUCCUACUUUAAGUUAUAGGAUUUUUAUUAAAUUUUCUGUUUUACAAUUUAAAAUACUCAUUUAAAUAUCCUUGAAAUAUCAAUAGCUUCCCAUCUUCUCUUUCCAUGGUUCAUUUUGCAUAUCAUAAAUCCCUGUGUAUUUUACAAAAACUAAACCGUUCAGUAUUCCAUUAUUAUUACAUCCAUCAAAACUGAUUUUCAUGGUUGAAUUUAUCUCAAUGCUGCCAAAGUUUUCAAGUGUACACAAUUCCCCCCCCCCAUUCAGUAAGCGUUUUCCAAUCUUCUCUAAACAUAUGUUCUUCUUGUUCUCUUAUUCUAUAUGUUAAAUCUGCAAGCAGUGCAUAUUCUGUCAACAAGUCCUUCUUUAGUUGGGACCUCACUCAUUUUCCAUUUUGGGGCUAACAAAACAUGGGCCGCAGUAAUGGCAUACAUAAAUAACCUUUUUUGAGUCAAUUUUAAGAAGAUGGAUGGAUAUAGCACGUCAGUAGCUGAGAUGGAAAACAAUGAUUCUUUAGAGCCUCACACAGUUCAGGGCCCCCACUCUCACCUAUUAGCUGAGAUUCUGUGGCAGGGGCCUCCAACAAUUCCAAAUAUUUACUCUUCCUUUACAGGAAAGGUAGCCAGUGUGGACCCAUCCAAAGGUUGUUGGACUACCAUUCCCAUCAUGUUUCUGGCGUUGAUGGGAGCUGUAGUCCAGCCAUACCUGGAGGGCACCAGGUUGGUGAUUUAGGUUCUGCAGCAAGUGGUUCUCAAAGUGUUUUAGCUAAUUUAAUUUUUCUAUUUUGCUUUUCCAACAUCGAAUGUUGCAAGGUGCCGCUGCCUGAUUUUUGCUGAACCGCACCCCGUUCCACAUCCAAGGCAUUUGUGGAUCCCUUGGUGUAACUCUCAGACUUUGGAAGGUUGGCAUCACUGAAUCACGUCAGGUACCCGCUAGAAACAGGUGGUUGGCUCGGGUACAAAUGUAGAAAGAAGGAAGCCAACACAGGAAAUGCAGGUAAAAACAUCACGUUUAAUUGCAAGUUAUUUCAGUAUGAAGUGUCCUGUCUUGGCCUAGCUGCAGGGAGGGAUUUAAUCAGAAAUGGCGUCAAGAGGGUGGGUAGUUGAGAAAACCCGCCGCCACUCUUCCCAGGGGCUAAAAGGUGAAUUGAAGGGGUGAAAUGGGGCCUGUAAUCCUAACCAACAUUUAGAUAAGUAACUCAUCAUGUAGAAAUUAGAAUUUGGGGAUUUCCUUAGCCAGAGUUGGCAACCCUAGUUGGUUGACAGAGAAAAUAGCCUGGCUCACGUGAAAUGGGUUUAUUAUGUAGGUUGAAAGUAGUUUUGUGUUUCGGAGCUCAGACUCCCACUUCUGCCUUGUACUCAGUUUCUUGGGCAAGUUACAGUGGUACCUCAUUACAUACACUUCAAGUUACAGACUCCGCUAACCCAGAAAUAUUACCUCGGGUUAAGAACUUUGCUUCAGGAUGAGAAUGGAAAUUGUGCUCCGGCGGCGCGGCGGCAGCAGGAGGCCCCAUUAUCUAAAGUGGUGCUUCAGGUUAAGAACAGUUUCAGGUUAAGAACGGACCUCCAGAACGAAUUACGUUCUAAACCCAAGGUACCACUGUACUUGUAUUCUAGCCUCACCAGUUUCACCUUGUAUGAAAUGGGUGUUUUGUGUCUGCCUGCGUCCCCCAUCCUUGGCAGCCAUUUUGUGAUGGUGAAGUUUGGUUUACAUGCCAUUACAAAUUUCCGAGAACGCUUUCAAGUGACACUGUGUUGUGUGCUCCAGGGCAAAGUGGGAGAUUAAAAUUUCAGCUCCCUACCACAUUUGGAACAUUGCUGCUGUCUGGACCCAAUGCCAGGUAUGCAUCAGUUUAAGAGGGGGCCUGACUAACCGCCCAGAACCAGCCCUGAGCAGAGAGGGCUCUUAAGUUUUUCAACUGCAGCAUAAUGGAAACAGCAGGCUCAGUAAAAAUAAACAAAUUACCUAUUUCCCACAAGACUUGCGGAAGAGGGGCAGUGUGUUAUAUCCAUUCUGGUUGUGAAGAAAGAGAUUUUCUUCCUCAGCAGAUAGCAUAGAAAUUUACGGUAAGUUGCUGUUGGUUGGAAGAGGGAUGGAGUGCCUAUGGACAAAUCCUGCUCAGUGCUUUCCAUCAGCCUGCUUGCUCGCUAGUAUGGAACUCCUGAUCGCUUGUGGCGACCAUGCUAGCUAGCUCUUCACCACAAAGCUUCCUGGCCCUUUUGGAAUGUCGAUGCAGAUCUUCGCUUGGCUUGUGAGUCUUUCAAAGUCAGUUUGAAACGUUGGUUAGGGCUGAGCAACCGUUAAAAGAGCAACCCUAUCCUGCACCUGGGAUGUGGGUGGUGCUGUCGGUUAAACCACAGAGCCUAGGGCUUGCUGAUCAGAAGGUCGGCGGUUCAAAUCCCUGCGACGGGGUGAGCUCCCAUUGCUCGGUCCCUGCUCCUGCCAACCUAGCAUUUCGAAAGCACAUCAAAGUGCAAGUAGAUAAAUAGGUACUGCUCUGGUGGGAAGGUAAACGGCAUUUCCAUGUGCUGCUCUGGUUCGCCAGAAGCGGCUUAGUCAUGCUGGCCACAUGACCCGGAAGCUGUACGCCAGCUCCCUCAGCCAGUAAAGCGAGAUGAGAGUCACAACCCCAGAGUCGGCCACGACUCGACCUAAUGGUCAGGGGUCCCUUUACCUUUAAAAGCAUGUCUACUCAGAAGCAAGUUCUUUUGGCUACAAUGGGGCUUGCUCUCAGGCGAAUGGGGUUCAGAUUGUAGCCUUAAGAGAUGAACGAGGGAGGGAAGAGCCACCUUUUGGUUUAUAGUCUUUGGAUAUCCUGGCAGUUACUUACAAUUUGCAAUAGGGGCUGUUCGCUCAUUAUUUUUCAAUUAAUUUUGCACAUGUCCUUUGACAGCCACUAUUUCUGCCCCUUUCUUCAGCCUGCAGGUCACACUGAUGAUCCUUGCUCAGCCAUGACGUCAUGGAGAGGAUAUUGCCAUAGUUUCUUCUUGAACACGCUCGUUUUUAAUGUAGAUGUUAGGGAGCGCGGGAGGUAUUGGGAAUAUCGUCUGAGUAGUUGCCCAAGAAGUCAAGGUUCCUCUUUCUUAAAAGCUGGCCUGAUUGCAGUGAAGAUAUUGUGAAGGAAAGAGCUGGCUAUGCCGAGGUGUGUAAUUAGCUGACUGUUUGGGGCCCAGAAAUGCAUUUUGCAGAGCAGAGGUGAGGAGAAUCUCUAGCCUUCCAGAUGUUGAUGGACUACAACUCCCAUCAUCCUUUGCUGACUGGGGGCUGAUGGGAGCUGGGAAUCAAGCAACACAACACCUGGUGUGAAACUAUUAAGUUUGGGGAAACACAAAGCGACUUAAAUACAUUCUAUAUCCUUCCUGAGAUUCUUCAUACUCUCACCCUGAACUCCAUUGUCUCCAGGAUUAUGAUGUGACCCCAACAUGGGGCUGCCAGGCACUGUGGAGCAGACUUCACCGCUGCCUCUCCCUACCAGCUCUUGGCUCUUGCUGCUCAGCUCACAGCCCUUCUCUUGCAUUGAUAUUUGGGGCAGCAGCCAGCUGUACUCAUAGGAAGAGCAUGGAAAUGGGCAGAAGCAGGAACAAAAGCCUCCCGACUUGGUCGUCGUCGCCCCCCGUCCCCCCCACUGAUGUUCAGAGAAAAGAACUUGGGCAACCUCUGAGUGCAACUCUCUUCCUAGGUACAGAAGUGCUGGAGAAUAGCGAUGCUGUCCAAUCCUAACCAGUAGAUGACCAGGGACCAGGAGCUGGAGUUCGGGAGAAGAGAGGAAGUAGCUCUCCUGUGUGAACUGGCGCAAGAGGCAGCUGCUGUUGCUGUUCGGAGGAUCUGCAGUCCCAGGAGGUGUGACUUUAUCAUGUACAUGACUAUCUUCCUGCUUAACUGUGUAAGUUUAAUAAAUGGAUUAAGAAUUGAAGUGGUGGGGCAUAGCAAUUAACAAUAAUUUUG